rnacentral:rRNA from 1 species
UUCCUCCGCAAUGGGCGAAACCCUGACGGAGCAAGACCGCGUGGGGGAAGAAGGCUCUUGGGUUGUAAACCCCUUUUCUCUGGGAAGAACACAAUGACGGUACCAGAGGAAUCAGCAUCGGCUAACUCCGUGCCAGCAGCCGCGGUAAGACGGAGGAUGCAAGCGUUAUCCGGAAUGAUUGGGCGUAAAGCGUCCGCAGGUGGCAGUUCAAGUCUGCUGUCAAAGACCGGGGCUUAACCUCGGAAAGGCAGUGGAAACUGAACAGCUAGAGUAUGGUAGGGGCAAAGGGAAUUCCUGGUGUAGCGGUGAAAUGCGUAGAGAUCAGGAAGAACAUCGGUGGCGAAGGCGCUUUGCUGGACCAUAACUGACACU